UUCUUUCUUUUCUUCGCAGCUCCGGUGCGUAAAGUCGACAUUCGGCAGCUGGAGAACAGGAUCACCUGCAGCUCAGAGGGGAUCUACCCUAAACCUACGCUCACCUGGACCACCAAGCCUCCGUUUAACGAGACCCUCCAGAACCAAACCACAGUCCAGCAGACUGAGCAGCAGCUCUACAGCAUCAGCAGCUUUCUGGUGGCUUCGGCUCCCGGUCUGGACUACAGCUGCACCGUCAGCACUCGAGUGAGCCAGAGGAGAGCCACGUGGUCUCUACCCACCAACAUCAGUGGCUCACGCACUGAAACAACGAUCCGCUGCAGGUCCUCAGAAGGUCCUCCAACAGGCCUCAUCUGGAGGUUCAACCACAGUCAGAUCAUCCUGAACCAGACCGGGACCGACUACACGACCUCAGAGGACUGGAAGAAGCAUGUGAAGAGCAGUUCUGAGUCAGGGAACCUCACGCUGAAGGACUUAUCUUCAAGUCAGGAGGGCAUUUACAGCUGUGAGCUCAGUGACGCUGAGGAGACCUACAGCAGCUUCUUUCUGAGGCUGGAGGGAAGUCCAGACAGUCACAAUAAUGUUGCAG